AAUCAACGCUGGCGGCGUGCCUAACACAUGCAAGUCGAACGCGAAAGUCCCGCAAGGGAUCAGUAGAGUGGCAAACGGGUGAGUAACACGUGGGUGACCUGCCCUCGAGCGGGGGAUAACGUCCCGAAAGGGACGCUAAUACCGCAUGACAUCCCGCCUUUGAACAGGUGGAGAUCAAAGCUGGGGAUCGCAAGACCUAGCACUCGAAGAGGGGCCCGCGCCUGAUAGCUAGUUGGUGAGGUAACGGCUCACCAAGGCGACGAUCAGUAUCCGGCCUGAGAGGGCGGACGGACACACUGGGACUGAGACACGGCCCAGACUCCUACGGGAGGCAGCAGUGGGGAAUUGUUCGCAAUGGGCGCAAGCCUGACGACGCAACGCCGCGUGGAGGAUGAAGACCU
rnacentral:rRNA from 1 species